CCUACGGGAGGCUGCAGUCGAGAAUCAUUCACAAUGGGGGAAACCCUGAUGGUGCGACGCCGCGUGGGGGAAUGAAGGUCUUCGGAUUGUAAACCCCUGUCAUGUGGGAGCAAAUUAAAAAGAUAGUACCACACGAGGAAGAGACGGCUACCUCUGUGCCAGCAGCCGCGGUAAUACAGAGGUCUCAAGCGUUGUUCGGAAUCACUGGGCGUAAAGCGUGCGUAGGCUGUUUCGUAAGUCGUGUGUGAACGGCGCGGGCUCACCCCGCGGACGGCACAUGAUACUGCGAGACUAGAGUAAUGGAGGGGGAAUCGGAAUUCUCGGUGUAGCAGUGAAAUGCGUAGAUAUCGAGAGGAACACUCGUGGCGAAGGCGGGUUCCUGGACAUUAACUGACGCUGAGGCACGAAGGCCAGGGGAGCGAAAGGGAUUAGAUACCCCAGUAGUC
rnacentral:rRNA from 1 species